UGAGACAGGUUGGUCCCUAUCUUCCGUGGGCGUUGAAUCUUGAGGUGGGUCGCUCCUAGUACGAGAGGACCGGAGUGAACGAACCUCUGGUGUACCAGUUGUCGUGCCAACGGCAUAGCUGGGUAGCUAAGUUCGGAAGGGAUAAGUGCUGAAAGCAUAUAAGCACGAAGCCUGCACCAAGAUUAGGAUUCUUAGAUUCCCGCUAGACUAGCGGGUUGAUAGGCUACAGGUAUAAGCUCCGUAAGGAGUUAAGCCGAGUAGUACUAAUAAAUCAUUUUUA
rnacentral:rRNA from 1 species